GACGAACGCUGGCGGCGUGCUUAACACAUGCAAGUCGAACGGAAAGGCCUCAGCUUGCUGGGUUACUCGAGUGGCGAGCGGGUGAGUAACACGUGGGUGAUCUGCCUUGCACUCUGGGAUAAGCUUGGGAAACUGGGUCUAAUACCGGAUAUGAACUGCCUUUAGUGUGGUGGUUGGAAAGUUUUUUCGGUGUAAGAUGAGCUCGCGGCCUAUCAGCUUGUUGGUGGGGUAAUGGUCUACCAAGGCGUCGACGGGUAGCCGGCCUGAGAGGGUGUACGGCCACAUUGGGACUGAGAUACGGCCCAGACACCUACGGGAGGCAGAAGGGGGGAAUAUUGAACAAUGGGCGGAAGCCGGAUGCAGCGACGCCGCGUGGGGUAUGACGGCCUUCGGGUUGUAAACUCCUUUCGACAGGGACGAAGCUUUUUGUGACGGUACCUGUAGAAGAAGCACCGGCUAACUACGUG
rnacentral:rRNA from 1 species